rnacentral:rRNA from 1 species
ACUCCUACGGGAGGCAGCAGUGGGGAAUAUUGCACAAUGGGGGAAACCCUGAUGCAGCCAUGCCGCGUGUGUGAAGAAGGCCUUCGGGUUGUAAAGCACUUUCAGUAGGGAGGAAGGUAGUGUAGUUAACACCUGCAUUAUUUGACGUUACCUACAGAAGAAGCACCGGCUAACUCCGUGCCAGCAGCCGCGGUAAUACGGAGGGUGCGAGCGUUAAUCGGAAUUACUGGGCGUAAAGCGCAUGCAGGCGGCCUGUUAAGUCAGAUGUGAAAGCCCGGGGCUUAACCUCGGAAUUGCAUUUGAAACUGGCAGGCUAGAGUCUUGUAGAGGGGGGUAGAAUUUCAGGUGUAGCGGUGAAAUGCGUAGAGAUCUGAAGGAUACCAGUGGCGAAGGCGGCCCCCUGGACAAAGACUGACGCUCAGAUGCGAAAGCGUGGGGAGCAAACAGGAUUAGAUACCCUGGUAGCACAGAG